GCAUAUCAAUAAGCAGAAGGAAAAGAAAACCAACAGGGAUUGCCCUAGUAACGGCGAGUGAAGCGGCAACAGCUCAAAUUUGAAAUCUGGCCUUCGGGUCCGAGUUGUAAUUUGUAGAGGAUGCUUUUGGUGCGGUGCCUUCCGAGUUCCCUGGAACGGGACGCCAUAGAGGGUGAGAGCCCCGUCUGGUUGGACACCAAUCCUCUGUAAAGCUCCUUCGACGAGUCGAGUAGUUUGGGAAUGCUGCUCUAAAUGGGAGGUAUAUGUCUUCUAAAGCUAAAUACCGGCCAGAGACCGAUAGCGCACAAGUAGAGUGAUCGAAAGAUGAAAAGCACUUUGAAAAGAGGGUUAAAUAGUACGUGAAAUUGUUGAAAGGGAAGCGCUUAUGACCAGACUUGAGCCCGGUUAAUCAUCCAGCCUUCUGGCUGGUGCACUUGGCCGGCUCAGGCCAGCAUCAGUUCGGCGCGGGGGAUAAAGGCUUCGGGAAUGUGGCUCCUCCGGGAGUGUUAUAGCCCGUUGUGUAAUACCCUGUACUGGACUGAGGUUCGCGCAUCUGCAAGGAUGCUGGCGUAAUGGUCAUCAGCGACCCGUCUUGAAACACGGACCAAGGAGUCGUCUUCGUAUGCGAGUGUUCGGGUGUCAAACCCCUACGCGUAAUGAAAGUGAACGCAGGUGAGAGCUUCGGCGCAUCAUCGACCGAUCCUGAUGUUCUCGGAUGGAUUUGAGUAAGAGCAUACGGAGCCGGACCCGAAAGAAGGUGAACUAUGCCUGUAUAGGGUGAAGCCAGAGGAAACUCUGGUGGAGGCUCGCAGCGGUUCUGACGUGCAAAUCGAUCGUCAAAUAUGGGCAUGAGGCGAAAGACUAAUCUA
rnacentral:rRNA from 1 species